rnacentral:rRNA from 1 species
UACGUAGGGUGCAAGCGUUGUCCGGAAUCAUUGGGCGUAAAGCGCGCGUAGGUGGCUUCGUAAGUCCGUUGUGAAAGUCAAAGGCUCAACCUUUGAAUGCCGAUGGAUACUGCGGAGCUAGAGUACGGAAGAGGCGAGUGGAAUUCCUGGUGUAGCGGUGGAAUGCGCAGAUAUCAAGGAGGAACACCAAUAGCGAAGGCAGCUCGCUGGGACGUUACUGACACUAAGG